rnacentral:rRNA from 1 species
GUCGAGCGAGUCUGCCUUGAAGAUCCCGAGUGCUUGCACUCUGUGAAACAAGAUACAGGCUAGCGGCGGACGGGUGAGUAACACGUGGGUAACCUGCCCAAGAGAUCGGGAUAACACCUGGAAACAGAUGCUAAUACCGGAUAACAACAGAUGAUGCCUAUCAACUGUUUAAAAGAUGGUUCUGCUAUCACUCUUGGAUGGACCUGCGGUGCAUUAGCUAGUUGGUAGGGUAACGGCCUACCAAGGCGAUGAUGCAUAGCCGAGUUGAGAGACUGAUCGGCCACAUUGGGACUGAGACACGGCCCAAACUCCUACGGGAGGCAGCAGUAGGGAAUCUUCCACAAUGGACGCAAGUCUGAUGGAGCAACGCCGCGUGAGUGAAGAAGGGUUUCGGCUCGUAAAGCUCUGUUGUUGGUGAAGAAGGACAGGGGUAGUAACUGACCUUUGUUUGACGGUAAUCAAUUAGAAAGUCACGGCUAACUACGUGCCAGCAGCCGCGGUAAUACGUAGGUGGCAAGCGUUGUCCGGAUUUAUUGGGCGUAAAGCGAGUGCAGGCGGCUCGAUAAGUCUGAUGUGAAAGCCUUCGGCUCAACCGGAGAAUUGCAUCAGAAACUGUCGAGCUUGAGUACAGAAGAGGAGAGUGGAACUCCAUGUGUAGCGGUGAAAUGCGUAGAUAUAUGGAAGAACACCGGUGGCGAAGGCGGCUCUCUGGUCUGUUACUGACGCUGAGGCUCGAAAGCAUGGGUAGCGAACAGGAUUAGAUACCCUGUAGUCCAUGCCGUAAACGAUGAGUGCUAAGUGUUGGGAGGUUUCCGCCUCUCAGUGCUGCAGCUAACGCAUUAAGCACUCCGCCUGGGGAGUACGACCGCAAGGUUGAACUCAAGGAAUUGACGGGGCCCGCACAAGCGGUGGAGCAUGUGGUUUAUUCGAGCACGCGAGACCUUACCAGGUCUUGACAUCCAUAGCCAGUCUAAGAGA